AAAUGAAAAAGGAAUUCUCAAGAAUAAUAAUAAUGAAACAGAAGACACAGUAGAAACUCAAAACAAUGAACUCCUGACUGUGUGGCUUCCAGCUUUACCAGCACUUCUGCUGUUAUUGAUUCUGAUCAGUGUUUUCACCUGGAGAUGGAGACGGAGACACAGUCAGUUUCAGCUGCACAUUUCUAUUUCAUGCUCUGAUAUUCUGACAUUUAUUUUGAAAGCACAGAUUCUAUAUAUCUAUAUUUAGUUAAUGUCUGAUAUUAUUGUUUCCCCUUUUUUAAAAUGAAGAGCAAGAUAAACACCAAAUCAGAGGAAGAACCAGCAGCAGAACCACUGACGUGGUAAGUCCUUUAUAAGAAGCAAGUUAUGAAAAUGUUCGUAUGAUAAUAUAGGGUUCAACGGGGGUUGAGUAUGGGGUAAAACACAUUUUACUUCAUUCUCCUUGACACAACAAUUCACCUCAGCACUGAUCUUGAUCGAAGACAGAAAAACAUUAUUAUGCACUAUUUUGAUCUAAUACUUGAUGUUUUUUUAAAUGGUGUAUAUUUAUGUAGCAAAUGAGAAUCAAUAAAACUAUUUUGUCUCCCUCUUCUUGGUAACAAAGAGGUUCCUAAGCUUUUUCAUGCUAAUCAAUCUAGACAUUGUUUGAGAGUCAAAUAUGAGAAAAGAAAACGCUUUGUUGUUUUUGUCCAGCCUUCCUUCUAAUAGCUUUAUAUCUUUACGCUGGUUUACCCAAGGAACAGGUAGUUCAGUAAGUGAGUCAUACAUUUAUUCUAUCCACUUCAUUCAUCAGAUUGAUUCAGAACCGAUGAGAUCAGAACGAUUUAAUAAAAGAACGAGCUCAUAAGAGGCAUCUUUCCUUAAUCAGAUGUUCGCCACAUAGGAAAUUUACCUUUGAUUUGUGCAGCAUGUCAAAACUAUAAAUACAAAGUUAUGACCAACAAACUUGGUAAAUGAAUUUUAUGAACUUAUUUCAUAUUAUAUUUCUGAAAUGUGACACUAUUAGCAUACUUUACUCCACUCACAUAUUUCCAGAACAUGUAGCCUAUUCUCUUAGUAGAUUUUGUUUUCUUGAUGUUACUCUUUUUUAUUGUUUUGUGUGUUUGUAUGAAAUGCAGAUCUACUCUAAAGCUGAAGAUCCUGAGAUGUACAGCACUAUAAAUGAUGAAAACCCAAAUGAUCCCAACAAGGACAUAACCUACAGUACUAUUGAUAAUUUUCCUGUGCGUGAAGCAGAGAAGCCUCCAGCAGGUGGAGCAAUAUACAGCAUAAUAUACAGCACUGUGGCUCCACACUGACUGCAAAAGUAAGAAGAACACAGGAACAGAACCUUCUGACCAAGAGAAACAAAAUCAACAACAGAGGACUGUCAUCACAACUGUGUGUGUGUGUGUGUGUGUGUGUGUGUGUGUGUGUGUGUGUGUGUGUGUCAACACACAAUUGUCUUUUAGCAGUACAUAGUUUUGUAUUUUGUGUUAUCGAGUCUGUUUAAUUACUUCUCCAUUUCUCCAUUCUGUCACUGAUGGAGUUUUGGUUNNNNNNNNNNNNNNNNNNNNNNNNNNNGUGGGGCUAUGGGUUGUUGGUUUUUGUGUGUGUGUGUGUGUGUGUGUGUGUGUGUGUGUGUGUGUGUGUGUGUGUGUGUGUGUGUGUGUGUGUGUGUAUGUGUGUGUGUGUGUGUGUGUCUUUGUCAACACACAAUUGUCUUUUAGCAGUACAUAGUUUUGUAUUUUGUGUUAUCGAGUCUGUUUAAUUACUUCUCCAUUUCUCCAUUCUGUCACUGAUGGAGUUUUGGUUUCUCUGGUUUGCUUAGUUGGGGACACUUCAUUUCCAGCGAUAUCGUCGACUUGAUUGCACAGAUACUAUUUAAACUGAACUGAGCUGGAUGAUGACAUCACUGAAUUCAGUGAUGAAAUGCGUUCAACUGAAAAAAAUGAGUUUACUAUUUAAAUUUACUAUAGUUUACUAUGAGUUUACUUUGCUAUUGUCAUUUUGCAUUAUUGACACACUAUUUUCCUAAUUAAUGCUGUACAGUUGCUUUGACACAAUCUGUAUUGUUAAAAAUGCUAUAUUAAUAAAGGUGACUUGACUUCACUGUAAAAAUAUUUU
ensembl:lncRNA